AGGGAGCAUUCCCAAAUAUUCAACUCUACACAAUUUCCAUUUCUUUGAUCCAUAUUAUUUUUUUUCUUUUUCUUUUUACAUCCACACAACCAUGAGCAUUUCUUUGCUUUUUUUUUUCUUUUCUUUGUUCUAUGGUUUCAAGGGUGAUUUCUUUUUCUUGUUUCUUUUCAUAUUUUCACCCUUUUAUAAAAACUCACUUUUCCAAGUUUCUAAUCAACUUUUCACUUUACUCUCCCCAACUUUAGAUUCCAAAACCAAAUUUA
rnacentral:lncRNA from 1 species